AAGGUGUUAGCUCAAUUGGAAGAGCGUUCCCCACCAAGGGGGAAGGAUGCGGGUUCGAGUCCUCGCACACCUUU
rnacentral:tRNA from 1 species